CCAGCUUCUCCAUCAUCGGGUAUC
rnacentral:siRNA from 1 species